rnacentral:rRNA from 1 species
UCCGGGGGGGGUAAGCGUUGUUCGGAAUUACUGGGCGUAAAGGGUUCGUAGGCGGCCAACUAAGUCGGACGUGAAAUCCCUCAGCUUAACUGGGGAACUGCGUCCGAUACUGGAUGGCUUGGAUUUGGGAGAGGGAUGCGGAAUUCCAGGUGUAGCGGUGAAAUGCGUAGAUAUCUGGAAGAACACCGGUGGCGAAGGCGGCAUCCUGGACCAAUAUUGACGCUGAGGAGCGAAAGCCAGGGGAGCAAACGGG